CUUUUUUCCCUACUGUAGGCAGCUCAUGGCCGAAGGGGACCUACAGGCCCACAGGGGAAACCGGGCAUCCCAGGUCCAGAUGGACUUGCAGGGUCACUGGGGCUUAAGGGUCCUCAGGGUCCAAGAGGAGAAGCUGGUACGAAAGGAGAAAAAGGAAAUCUGGGAAGUAAAGGUCCCCAGGUAUGUAA